rnacentral:piRNA from 1 species
UGCCUAUGUGUAGAUCUAAAGAUAAAUACUC